AGCCAUCACUGCUUCCUCUGGCAGAGGUGCCUUGGUGGGUUACACUGUGGAGAGCUCUCCUUGCUGCUUUUCCAUUACUUCUGUGCUGAAUAAACAUUAGAGAAGCCACAGAAAACAAAACAGGAAGAGAUUCUGAAGUUCAUUUCAUGCGUUUGCUUCACUUAAAGUACACACAAAUCUGCUGAAAAUGAUCUUGCUUGAGCUAUGGAUUAGUGAAAGAACCAUUAUAACAAUCAGAUGAAGACACUGAAACACUUGAGGUCUGAUCUCCAUUUGCACCUGGGGAGUGGAUGUACCAUGUCUGUAGAGAAACUGCACAGGCUGGAGAUAAAAUACAGCAACAUCUGAACAGAAGGCAUCCCUUAUCUUCAUGAGUUCCCUUAAUUAGCUAGGAGUAGAGUUAAACUGCCUUCCCUGUGGAAUGGAAGUUUCUGCUCAUUUAUUCUUUGUUUUCUGAGUACUGCUGAAGUCUUACCAUUUAUAUAAAUGUGGAGUUUCUUUCCCCAAAGAGUCUCGAAGUGUUUAAGCUUAAUGCAGGAUGAGAGACAGGUCAAUAAGUUAGGAGACUGUUCCUGGGGAGAGGGAAGAACUUUCCUAGGCUGUGACAACACGAAUUCUGUAGAGUAUUUUGUAAGAAAACAGAAAAGCUAAAGAAGGAGGUGAGGGAUGAUUAAAGAGAGGUGUGAAUGAAGGAAUCACAACUAGAAGAGAAGAGGCAGCAAGGUGAUACAUGAAGCCACAGACACAAGGUGCAGGAGCUAAAUCUGAGCUAGUAAAAAGGAAGUCAGAGACACAAAUUUCCCUUUUUGCAGGACAGAAAAUUGGACUGUGUCAUGCUGGCACAACGUAGCAGCUCUAAAUUCUCUCAGGCAGGAUUCCACUGGAGAAGGGACCAAAGCAGGAGCUGCUGCUGCUGAGGGUGGAGAACCACAGGACCUGCAGAGGAAACGACAGAACUCGUGUUCAAAUGGGUAGCUGAUCUCCCUUCCAAGAAAGAAAUACUGGUGUGGGAAAAGGUGUUUCUGGAGCCUUCUAGACUCAGAUUUUGGGCUCUACUUUCUAUUUAUUUCAGAGUUAUUCCACUAAAUUCCUUUACACUGAACAACUCCAACUACUCCUUGACCAGCCCAGGCUCCUCCUUGGUUCUUUCCUGCUGGGUGUCUGCUGCUCUGUGCUUUGAACAUAGAGAUGAAGAGAAAGUACUUGGCAAUAGGAAUCAAGAGGAGCAGAUCAAAAGAAACAGAAGAGCUCAGAAAUACCUGCAGUAGCAAAUGGGGAGACUGGAGCAUUGCUGGGACAAGGCCACUGAGUGAGGAGGCAAAAAGUCCAUUUGUGAACUUCUGGCUGUGGACCAGAAUGCAGCAGUCUGAAACACAGGACUCUAAGUGAUAAAUGUCCACACCUUCUGCUGGUAAGAAAUGGUAAGAGAUCAGCUCAAGCUGGGCAUUUCCAGAGAGCCAGAACCCAGCCUGGGAUGUUUUAGGCUCAGGA